rnacentral:rRNA from 1 species
GAUGAACGCUGGCGGCGUGCCUAAUACAUGCAAGUCGAGCGAACAGACGAGGAGCUUGCUCCUCUGACGUUAGCGGCGGACGGGUGAGUAACACGUGGAUAACCUACCUAAGACUGGGAUAACUUCGGGAAACCGGAGCUAAUACCGGAUAAUAUAUUGAACCGCAUGGUUCAAUAGUGAAAGACGGUUUUGCUGUCACUUAUAGAUGGAUCCGCGCCGCAUUGGCUAGUUGGUAAGGUAACGGCUUACCAAGGCGACGAUGCGUAGCCGACCUGAGAGGGUGAUCGGCCACACUGGAACUGAGACACGGUCCAGACUCCUACGGGAGGCAGCAGUAGGGAAUCUUCCGCAAUGGGCGAAAGCCUGACGGAGCAACGCCGCGUGAGUGAUGAAGGUCUUCGGAUCGUAAAACUCUGUUAUUAGGGAAGAACAAAUGUGUAAGUAACUAUGCACGUCUUGACGGUACCUAAUCAGAAAGCCACGGCUAACUACGUG